UUAGUCUUUCUGGUUAGAUUUGUAGUAGAUUAGAAAUUUGUGAAUUAAAUCGAUUUUUUUGGGUUUUUGAUUUCUAAUUGAAUUUCUGUUAAGCUUAUCCAUGGCUUCUCAGGGUUUUUAUUUCAAGGGGUAAGUAAAUUCGAAAAAGAUCGGAUUUCUGUCAUUAUAAUUGAUUUUCAGAGAGACCCAAUUUAUAAUUUUUGCAUUUUUUGGAUACUGGAUAGUAAGGUUGAGGCAGUAAGUUUUGUUGAAAUAGGUUAAUGGUUUGGCCGUUUGAAGGUUGAGGCAGCAAGUUUCAACAUUAGAAAAUCUAGGGGUUCUACAUUCUAAUGGGUGACGAAUCAAGUCAAUCGAUUGCGGUAACAGGUAAGAUGUCAAGUCCAUCUGAUAAUGAGGAUAAGGGACAGACAAGUCUGAUGUUACUACCCCCCAAUACCAUGUAAUAAUGCUAUACUAGCUGCUUCCUGCUAUAGUUAUGAAAAGUGCAGAAGGGCUUUAGUGGAGUUCAUAUAAUGUUGGACUCAAACAACUACAGGUCGGUAUGAAUGCACAAUUAUGAAUGGCAUGAUAUGAAGAAGAGCCUAAAGUCCACAAUCGGCACAAAAAGAUAAGUGCUUCACAUCUUCUAUUUUUCCUAUUUGAAAAAUUAAGAAUGUUGUUUAACACUCUGAUCUUGUACACUGUAUCAGGCGAGAGUUGGUAUGUGCUGAACUGGACUAGUUGCUCCUCUAUAAAAAUGAUUAAACCAGUAUUUUGACCCCCUUACACUGCUGUUGUACAGAAUAUAGGCUAGUAUUCUACGAUUCUGCCUAUGAAUCUCUACAAGACGAUAACCAGAGAAAUGCGAAUGGCGUUGCUGGAUGAUUCACUGCACCUAUGCAUAUGUUUCAGCUGCUCAAGAUCCUAACAUGUAUUCUAACCAAGCUAUGGGGGUAUUGGAUAUGGUAACUAUCAAUAGCACCAACAUCAGUGAUUUGAUCAGAUAGCCAGAGUCAAUGUGGUGGGCAGAUGAAAGCUAUAUUUUUCAAGUAAAGAAGAGGUCAGGUCUCAGUAGUCUAAGACUCUAAUGGUUUAGAUGUAUCCUAGUUAAAUCUCCUAUUUUCCCAUUUCCUGCUGCACGAUGGUUUAGACUGCUAACUUAGGGUAGUAAAUAUGAAGAGAUUGUUAUUUUCUGUUUUUUUUCUUUUUUUGUUCUUUCUGGUUUUAUGUCUGUGUAUGACUUUAUCUUCUUGUGAUGAUGUGUAUGAGCUUCGGGUGAUGACAUCAUGUGGCAAAGUCAUUACUAAGAAAUUCAUUCUUACACCGUUGUAUGCUUCUGUUGAAUGCUCUCACUAGGCUUCUACAUCUGAUUAUUCUGUAUCUUAUUUGUUUAUAUAUGUUUGAUGGAGCCUUGAAAUC